UACGUAGGGUGCAAGCGUUGUCCGGAAUUAUUGGGCGUAAAGAGCUCGUAGGCGGUCUGUCACGUCGGCUGUGAAAUCCCGAGGCUCAACCUCGGGUCUGCAGUCGAUACGGGCAAACUAGAGUACUGCAGGGGAGACUGGAAUUCCUGGUGUAGCGGUGAAAUGCGCAGAUAUCAGGAGGAACACCGGUGGCGAAGGCGGGUCUCUGGGCAGUAACUGACGCUGAGGAGCGAAAGCGUGGGGAGCGAACAGG
rnacentral:rRNA from 1 species